GGAUUUGGAAGGGAAAUUGGAAGCAGAAACUCUCCGGAGCGAUUCCUUGAUGGUUCAACUUCAGGAAUCAGAGAAAACAAUAAAAAGCCUGCAAAAAGAAGUAGAAAAUCUCAGACAGUCAAAGGGGAUGAUUGAGGAUCAAAUUGAGAAAGAAAAAAUGGCGAAAGAAGACCUUGAGAUGCAAUUUGAAGCAGCUAAACUGGAACUGAAUGAAGCUUGUCGAAAGGCUUGUUGUUUAGAGAAGGAACUCGAGGACCAAAGUAAUUCCUAUAAGAAGCUCGAUUCUACAUGCCAUAUGCUUCAC
rnacentral:misc_RNA from 1 species